GCGUUUGUAGCUCAGCUGGAUAGAGCAUCGGACUUCGAAUCCGCAGGUCGCACGUUCGAGUCGUGUCAGACGCA
rnacentral:tRNA from 1 species